UAGGACCUUCCAUGUCUGUCACAGGGGCUU
rnacentral:piRNA from 1 species